rnacentral:rRNA from 1 species
AGGAAUACCGGCGAGAAAUCGCCGACAAGACCGCAUGAGCUCUUUAUCGUGAUGGGUGAAGGGGAAAGCUUUUCUGUCUCGUGAGAGAGAGGAGGCGCUGAGGGAUGGGCCUGUGGCCGAUUAGCUAGUUGGUGGGGGAAGAGCCUACCAAGGCGACGAUCGGUAGCUGGUCUGAGAGGACGAUCAGCCACACUGGGAUUGAGAACGGCCCAG